rnacentral:tRNA from 1 species
GGAAAGGUGGCAGAGCGGUUCAAUGCAUCGGUUUUGAAAACCGACGUAGUUUUCGAAAGGGUAGCGGGGGUUCGAAUCCCUCCCUUUCCG